UUAACAUGAUGAUUAAAAUUUAUCACCAUCUUUCGACUGAGUGGCAUUGAUGAUAAUUUUAUUUUCUGAUUUAAAUA